rnacentral:rRNA from 1 species
ACUGCUCAGUAACACGUGGAUAACCUGCCCUUGGGUCCGGCAUAACCCCGGGAAACUGGGGAUAAUUCCGGAUAACGCACAUAUGCUGGAAUGCUUUAUGCGUAAAAUGGAUUCGUCUGCCCAAGGAUGGGUCUGCGGCCUAUCAGGUAGUAGUGGGUGUAAUGUACCUACUAGCCUACGACGGGUACGGGUUGUGAGAGCAAGAGCCCGGAGAUGGAUUCUGAGACAUGAAUCCAGGCCCUACGGGGCGCAGCAGGCGCGAAAACUUUACAAUGCGGGAAACCGUGAUAAGGGGACACCGAGUGCCAGCAUCAUAUGCUGGCUGUCCAGGUGUGCAAAAUACACCUGUUAGCAAGGGCCGGGCAAGACCGGUGCCAGCCGCCGCGGUAACACCGGCGGCCCGAGUGGUGAUCGUGAUUAUUGGGUCUAAAGGGUCCGUAGCCGGUUUGGUCAGUCCUCCGGGAAAUCUGACAGCUUAACUGUUAGGCUUUCGGAGGAUACUGCCAGACUUGGAACCGGGAGAGGUAAGAGGUACUACAGGGGUAGGAGUGAAAUCUUGUAAUCCCUGUGGGACCACCUGUGGCGAAGGCGUCUUACCAGAACGGGUUCGACGGUGAGAGACGAAAGCUGGGGGCACGAACCGGAUUAGAUACCCGGGUAGUCCCAGCCGUAAACGAUGCUCGCUAGGUGUCAGGCAUGGCGCGACCGUGUCUGGUGCCGCAGGGAAGCCGUGAAGCGAGCCACCUGGGAAGUACGGCCGCAAGGCUGAAACUUAAAGGAAUUGGCGGGGGAGCAC